UAGGGAAUUUUCGUCAAUGGGCGCAAGCCUGAACGAGCGAUGCCGCGUGAGUGAAGAAGGCCUUCGGGUCGUAAAGCUCUGUUGGCGGGGGAAAAAAGGCAGCAUCAGGAAAUGGGUGCUGACUGAUGGUGCCCCGCCAGAAAGUCACGGCUAACUACGUGCC
rnacentral:rRNA from 1 species